GGUGCCGUAGCCAAGUGGUAAGGCAGAGGUCUGCAAAACCUCCAUCGGCGGUUCGACUCCGCCCGGCACCU
rnacentral:tRNA from 1 species